CGGGCUGUGGCGCAGCUUGGCUAGCGCACCUGCUUUGGGAGCAGGGGGUCGUGAGUUCGAAUCUCACCAGCCCGACCC
rnacentral:tRNA from 1 species